GGAAAUUUUUUAAAAUUAUUUUAUUUUUAUAGUGUUUUUUAAAUGGUUAUAAAUAUAAGUAAUUUGGGGAUAUAUAUUUAAUGGUUGAGUUUUGAAGUGUAUAGUUUUGGUGGUGGUUAUUGUAGAUUUGUAUAUUUAUUAUGAUAAUGGUAGAAUAUUUAUAGUAGAAAAAUAUUUUGAGGAAAGUUUUUUUUAUUUUUUU
rnacentral:misc_RNA from 1 species